rnacentral:lncRNA from 1 species
AAAGUCGCCUGGGGCCUCGGAGAUGAAAGAUGGACCUGAACAGGAGCAGAGACGCAGAGCUGGCCACACAUGGAAGGUAAUGCCAGGACAAAUCGGGAUGAACUAGAAAGUUGGUUGGAAAUCUGCCCAGCUAUAGGCUUAAGCUUUAAAAUACCCGAUAGCCUCUGUGUCAUCAUUUGUACUGCUUCUGGGUCAGAAAGUCCUGCUAUAUAACUGAAAUCACACGGGGGGCCUCUUUAGAAGAAACUGACCAGUGCGGAAGGAACAAUAUCCUCAGAUCAUGGAGAGCAAGAGAAGGAAACACAGAAAAUAACCAUGAGGCCUGAGAAAUGUUUUGAAUGUAUGUGAGAUUUAUCACAUCCUUCCUGCAACCGCUCCUGUCACCCUCCCUGAAGGCUGUCAAGAAAGGACAAGGAGACCAGCAUGUGGUUUUAGUUUCUGCCACAAGGCUCACAUGAGUCCCUCUGUAUCGCCUGGCUGGCCCUUCCUUCCUCCGCAUCCAGGCUAACUUUAAAAUCCAACCUGAAGGUUUUAAAAAUCCAAUUAUAAGUUAGCCUAUAUAUUAGAUGGGGGGGGGGGGGAGGAAACUUCAUAUUAAAAGCCCUGUAUAAAAUGCACUCUUUACUGCAUUGAGUUUGGUCAAGAGUUUUCGUGGCUGCCUGUUAGUUUGUGUUACCAAAACGAAACAUUGAAACAUCGGCAUGGAAGUUUCUUCUAGGAGCCUGCCCCCAGUUGGUAAGUGAGGAAACAUGCAUGCCCCUGCCUGAAUUAAGGGGGAGGGUUGGGUACAAAAGCAGGAAGUACGUAAAGAUAUGUGUUUGCUUCUAAUUGGACCUGAUGGGAAAGCCAAAUGGCUUUAUGGGUAUACGCCUUUAGAUGACUCUGCAAACUACCUCUGCCGCCAUUUUCUGGGGACCCGGAGUGGUUCUGGGCAAAAUCCUUCAUCUUGGCUGAAUGAAAAAGAGAAAGAAAGAAAGAAAACAUGACUGGUCCUGGUUUUCGGCGCCAUGUGUAUGAGAAAAAGAAAUAAAAAGAAAGGAAGAGGACUGGUCCCAGGUAUAGUGGAAGAGAAAGUUUGUGGAUUGAAAGGGAGGCAGAGCCACGGGGCAGAAUCUUCUUGGAGCGUCCAGAAUGAACAUGUCCCUAGCUUUUUUAGGAGAUGGAGGAGAGGGAGGGAGGAAAGAGAGGUACCAGGUGCAGCAGCCCGGGUUGGCAUUUUGUCUAGGCUCUGCCCACAGUUUCUGGCAACAGCCAGGUAUACCUGACUCACUAUAAAAGGGACUGCUUGCCCCCUCCUCACUUUUGCUCUCUGCUCUUCUCCUCUUGCCCUUGCUCCCUUACUCACUUCCUCCCUCUCCUCAUUCCCCUCCCUACUCUCCACGUGCUCAUGGCCAGCCACUACUAUCUCUGCCUUUCUCUGUCUCUACUCCCUCAACUCACAUCCCUAUGCCCUACAUUCUAUUCUAUAUUAUACCAUCCCGUGGCUGGUACCUCAGGGGGAAGGGAUGCCUCAGCAUGAGCCAGCAAAGGGACCCUUUCCCCAACACCUUACUAUGCCUCCACCAAACAUAUCCCUGCCUUCUUCUCUUUCUUUUUAUAAAAUACAACAGCCAGGAAGCCCAAAGGAGAGAGAGAUGGGUCUGGUAACCAAAAUGGUUGAAUUGGAAGUGCAGUUGGGGAAAGGUGGCCCAACACUGAGCUGGAGAGUUCAGGGUAGGAGCAGAACAUGCCUUCCAGGAACGCCCUGGAACUGGCAGGGACUGAGGGAUGCAUGGAGAAACUAGCAGCUCAUGUCUGGUUUGAUAUGAUAACUAGGCACUUUAUCCAUUUGCUUGCUUCAAUUUUGACUCAAAACUUGUGGAACUGACUCUUGUGAUUCUCGGGUUGAACAGGGAGGAUAAUAGAACCUCUGUGAUAGAUGAAUGAAAAUAUAUACCCAAAUGUUUGGUUCCAUGCAGGAGGAAAACCAAAUAGCCUUAGAACUCAUGGAAUUUGUCCCACCGGUUAGCACAACCACAUCAAGAGGCAGAACCCCGACUGUCCUGAGGACUUCUUGCUGUUGUGGAGUUUUGCUCUGCUCACCGUCUUCAAGAUCACCACAUCCCUCUUGGUCCGUGAGUUGCAUGAAAACUCCAAAAAGGCUGCCAGCCCCUCACUGGACAGUAUCAUUGGUAUCAAGAAUAGUGAUUGCUCUUUUUCAAGUGUUGCAGCUGGAGCAGAUUACUGAUUCAACCACCACCCUCAGAAAGGACAUAGAGCUGUAGAUUGCUGGUAAUGUCCGGCACUCUUAGAAAGAAUGUGGAAAUGUCGGUUGUAGUAAAGUUAGGCUAAGAUGCUUUUGCUAGCGGCUUGGAAGUAGAAAACCGUGGGGAACAAUUGGAAAUUCAGAGAGGCACACUCUUGAUAGUUGAGCUAGACCCUUUUGAUGUCAGGGACAAGAACAAUGGCAACCCAGCUAAUACUGGCUGAGGUGGGUAUGCCUGUUUGGCUGAAGCAGCGCUGGUGAUCAAGGUGAUGACUAAGAUCUUAUACCCAUCUUACCCUCAGAUUCCUGACAGGAUUUAAUAAAAAAUUGUU